GUCCGCGUGGCCUAAUGGAUAAGGCGUCUGAUUCCGGAUUAGAAGAUUGCAAGUUCGAGUCCUGUCGCGGACG
rnacentral:tRNA from 1 species